UACGUAGGGUGCGAGCGUUAUCCGGAAUUAUUGGGCGUAAAGAGCUCGUAGGCGGUUUGUCGCGUCUGCCGUGAAAGUCCGGGGCUCAACCCCGGACUUGCAGCGGGUACGGGCAGACUAGAGUGUGGUAGGGGAGACUGGAAUUCCUGGUGUAGCGGUGAAAUGCGCAGAUAUCAGGAGGAACACCGAUGGCGAAGGCAGGUCUCUGGGCCACUACUGACGCUGAGAAGCGAAAGCAUGGGGGAGCGAACAGG
rnacentral:rRNA from 1 species